GCGCGUCUGCUCAUCCCGGGCCCCGGAGGCCGCGCUGCCCGAAGAGGCGGCCCCUCCGCGGGCCGCGGGACACCUGGCCGCGUGGGCGCUGCCCUCGCCGCCCCGCCCCCGGCCCCGGUCCGCCUCGCGGCCGCGCGGCCCCUGCCCGAUCCCCCUGCGCCGCCGGACUUCCGCCCCCGCACGCUGGCGGCCAACCCGCUUCCGAGCGUCCCCGGUACCUGGCACAGGAGCGCGGCCCCGGCGGCGAAGCGGCGGACGGGCGCGGCGGCGGGGGCGCGGCGGCAGGGGCUGCUCCGCCCGGGGACGCGCCUGGCGGCCCGCGGGAACGCUGCGGCCGGCGGCGCGACGCAGCAGGUGGCCGCCUGGCCUGGCGACAGCGCGGGUCGGUGGCCCGAGACCGGGCCGCGGGGCGGGCACGGCCCUCCGGCCGCCGGCGCUCGCCCUCCGCGGCGCGCUCCCAGCCCGGGCGUGCCGGCGCGGCGCGGCUGCUCUCGGCUCGGCGGGGCGGGCGCCGCGCCUCCCGCUCGGCUCCGCUCGCCCGCCCCCCGCCGCGCGCUCCUCCCCGCGCCGCUCCCGCCGCCGCCGCCGCCGCCCGGUCCGGUGCGCCGAGAGCUCGGGCGACGGCGCCGGCGGGCCGCGGGGGGCGGCGGGGACCCCCCCAGCCACGGCGGCUCCCGCGGCCCCGCUCGGCCCGCCCGCGCGGCGGCGCUGCCGGGGCUCGGGGCUGGGGUCCACCGCGCCCCCGACGGCCCGGCGCACCUGCGCGCCCUCGCGAAGAGGGACCCGGCCGACCGCAGCCUCAGCCUCCCGGUCACUGCGGGCUUCUCGGCCGCGCGGCGCCCGGCCUGGGGCGCUCCGGCUGCGCCUCGCAAAGCCGGCGGCCCGCGGGCCCGGGGCCGGAGGGGGUGGGCGCCGUGGGUGGGAAGUGUGCAUUUGAAUAAAAGUAAAAGCUGGUUUUUUAUAACCUUGUGGGUCCGGAGCGUCUCCAGGCUAAUUAGGGAAGCUGCCACCCUGCCUUGA
rnacentral:lncRNA from 1 species